rnacentral:lncRNA from 1 species
CUCCGCAGGGCGUAGCUUUAUACGACCGCAGAGGUUGAACCCUGACAGUUGGGGCAAGUAUGGACACAACAUUCAAGCUGGAUUCAGCUCUAAAUUUGGAUUGUGAUUAAAUAGUUGACACAGCAUAGGUUUCUGACACAGAAUGAAUGUGUUCUAAUGAACUUAAAAUUUUGGUUUUCUCUUAGAGCAAUUCACUAUGCUGUUGAAUAUUAAUCCUCUCAAAAAAAUGUUGGAAGAAAUUUUCUUUUUUAUUUAUGAAAU